rnacentral:piRNA from 1 species
UAAUUAUUUUUUUAGUAAAAA